UUUCGCAAUGCCCGAAAGGGUGACGAAGCGACGCCGCGUGAGUGAGGAAGGCCUUCGGGUUGUAAAGCUCUGUCAGGAGUUAAGAAAUAUAAGUGUGUUAAUACCACAUUUAUUUGACGAAGGCUCCAAAGGAAGCCACGGCUAACUCUGUGCCAGCAGCCGCGGUAAUACAGAGGUGGCAAGCGUUGUUCGGAAUUAUUGGGCGUAAAGAGCACGUAGGUGGGUUUGUAAGUCAGAUGUGAAAGCCUUCUGUUCGACGGAAGAAUUGCAUCUGAGACUGCGAGUCUUGAGUGUAGGAGGGGAGAAUGGAACCUCUGGUGGAGCGGUGAAAUGCGUAGAUAUCAGAAGGAACGCCGGCGGCGAAAGCGAUUCUCUGGCCUAUUACUGACACUCAGUGUGCGAAAGCUAGGGGAGCAAACGGGAUUAGAUACCCCGGUAGUCCUAGCUGUAAACGCUGGGCACUAAGUAGAGGGGUUUU
rnacentral:rRNA from 1 species